rnacentral:rRNA from 1 species
UACAGAGGGUGCAAGCGUUGUUCGGAAUUAUUGGGCGUAAAGGGAGUGUAGGCGGUCUUUUAAGUCUUCUGUGAAAUCUACGGGCUUAGCCUGUAAAGUGCGGAGGAAACUGGGAGACUAGAGUGUCGGAGAGGAUAGGGGAAUACCCAGUGUAGAGGUGAAAUUCGUAGAGAUUGGGUGGAACACCAGUGGCGAAGGCGCCUGUCUGGCUGACAACUGACGCUGAGACUCGAAAGCAUGGGGAGCAAACAGG